AGAAAAAUCUCAGAAGAACCUAAAGCUGAAAAUGGUGGAUAUGAGGGCUCAGAGCUGAUGAAUGUCAUGGAUGAAAUAUGUCAAAUGAUCAGUUUAUUACCAAAAAGUAGUCUACGUAGUCUUCCAGGAAUGGAUUUUCCAAAAUUGCAACGUUUGCUAGCGAAAAGAAUUCUCCUCAAGAAAAGGAGCAGUACAACAAGUAGUG